UACGAAGGGGGCUAGCGUUACUCGGAUUGACUGGGCGUAAAGGGCGCGUAGGCGGUUUGUACAGUCAGACGUGAAAUUCCUGGGCUCAACCUGGGGGCUGCGUUUGAUACGUGCAGACUUGAGUUCGGAAGAGGGUCGUGGAAUUCCCAGUGUAGAGGUGAAAUUCGUAGAUAUUGGGAAGAACACCGGUGGCGAAGGCGGCGACCUGGUCCGAUACUGACGCUGAGGCACGAAAGCGUGGGGAGCGAUCCGG
rnacentral:rRNA from 1 species